rnacentral:pre_miRNA from 1 species
AAUAAACCAAUUUUUCACUUUUUACUUAUAAUUUUUGACUCUUCGUCUUAUUUAAAUUUUUUUGAUUAAUAUUUUUGUUUUUGUUAGAUGAUAAAUCAUGAAUAAUAUUUUAUGUGUGACUAAUUUUUUUCUAAUUUUCUGAAAAAUUUUCAAAUAAAACGGAUGGUCAAACGUUGGACACGGAAACCGGAG